rnacentral:rRNA from 1 species
CUUGGUCAUUUAGAGGAAGUAAAAGUCGUAACAAGGUUUCCGUAGGUGAACCUGCGGAAGGAUCAUUAAAAAAAAGAGAAACGUCCCGUUUUUUUCAUAAGAAUGGGUUCUAUUCCCUUAAACCGUGUCUACAUACCUUUGUUGCUUUGGCAGGCCGCCUUCGGGCGUCGGCUCCGGCUGAUAGUGCCUGCCAGAGGACCCAAACUCUAUGUUUAGUGAUGUCUGAGUACUAUAUAAUAUUUAAAACUUUCAACAACGGAUCUCUUGGUUCUGGCAUCGAUGAAGAACGCAGCGAAAUGCGAUAAGUAAUGUGAAUUGCAGAAUUCAGUGAAUCAUCGAAUCUUUGAACGCACAUUGCGCCCCUUGGUAUUCCGAGGGGCAUGCCUGUUCGAGCGUCAUUAUAACCACUCAAGCCUGGCUUGGUAUUGGGGUUUUCGCGUGUUCGCGGCCCUUAAAAUCAGUGGCGGUGCCGUCUGGCUCUAAGCGUAGUAAUUUCUCUCGCUAUAGGGUUCUGGUGGUUACUUGCCAAAACCCCCCAUUUUUUCUAGGUUGACCUCGGAUCAGGUAGGGAUACCCGCUGAACUUAAGCAUAUCAAUAAGCGGAGGA